UAAAUAAAUCAAUUGAAGAGGCCACAGUAAAACUUUACCUAACAAUUAAUUUAGCCCACAAAUUUCAGCUAUAGGAAUGACUCCAGAGCCUACUGAGUUGGUUUUUAUAUGAAGUUUCAGCUGAGAUUUCUAAGUCUACUUUCUUCAGAUGCUUUCCAGGCAGUGUAUGAAGGAACUUCAGAUAUGGACAGGAGAGAAGAUAAUUGCAUGUACACUCAUAAAAGAAGAUUCCCCAGAGCACUGAAAAUAUUGGACUAAUGAGGAACAAAAGUGAAUAUGUCAUCUGAGCAUGCAGGAAAAAGUUUCAUACCCAUUAGGGUGCAAGAUGUGUUGUUUGAACUUUGACAAACUAUGAAGAAGUUAUGAUUUCAGUGAUUGCAUUGUGGGAUUUGCAACACUGACACAUACUGCACAACUUCGGAUGCAUUAGAACGAGAUUCAGCUAAAAAUUCUGUGAAAUGCUUUCUGAAAUUAACUUUAGAUUUUCUCUGACCUAUAAAUUAAAAAUCACCUGUCAUUUUCCAACUUGCUCCCAUUGUAAAGUGCACCUUCUUGAAACUGGUUGACCUGUAUUUGUUACUGCAUGAGUUUUGAGUAACUGCUUGGGAUGUGCUCUUAAUUAUUGAGAAACUAGGGUAGAUAUUUAGCUAGCUACCCUGAACAGGUAGAUUCAUCAGAAAUCUAGAAUUUCAAGACAGAAUAUUCAAACUACUGUAUUUUAAUAAGAAAGAGGAGAGACAGACUUCAGCAAGAAAACAAUAGAUCUUUAUGUUUUUGACUUAGUGCCUAUCAUGCUUGAAGGCAUGGAACUCAUUUUACAGCCUGGGCAAGGAGGGAGAGGUAGCAGCAUUUUUGUAACAACAGCAUUUGCCAAUUGCUGGAAAAACAGGCCAUCAUAAUUCCUGCUGCACAUAAAAGGGCAAUGUGGAAUUUCAGACCUUCUAUAAAUAUUUGCUUUUUUGUUGCAAAUUUACUAAGUGAAUUUAAUUACAACAAAGCAAACAUGGAGGAAAGAGCUUUGACCUAAUCAUAGUUGUAUAAGCUUUGUUGUGGCGUCCCAUGGUAGGAGCUGUUUAGUGGUACACCCAUACUGAAAGAAAAAACAGCCAAAUCAGCCCUUCAACUUUUGGUUGUUUUUGCGAAUAUGAAUGCAUGAAUGAGGCAUUGCUAAAGAGUAAAAACUACACAAUGUAAAUCACAAGAAGAGCAAUUUAAUACCCAAAUUUUAAUUCAGCUGGAAAACAGCAUUUUAAUAUCCUCAUAUUGUUCAAAAG
rnacentral:lncRNA from 1 species